rnacentral:rRNA from 1 species
CUACGGGCUGCUGCAGUGGGGAAUAUUGCACAAUGGGCGCAAGCCUGAUGCAGCCAUGCCGCGUGUAUGAAGAAGGCCUUCGGGUUGUAAAGUACUUUCAGCGGGGAGGAAGGGAGUAAAGUUAAUACCUUUGCUCAUUGACGUUACCCGCAGAAGAAGCACCGGCUAACUCCGUGCCAGCAGCCGCGGUAAUACGGAGGGUGCAAGCGUUAAUCGGAAUUACUGGGCGUAAAGCGCACGCAGGCGGUUUGUUAAGUCAGAUGUGAAAUCCCCGGGCUCAACCUGGGAACCGCACCUGAUACUGGCAAGCUUGAGUCUCGUAGAGGGGGGUAGAAUUCCAGGUGUAGCGGUGAAAUGCGUAGAGAUCUGGAGGAAUACCGGUGGCGAAGGCGGUCCCCUGGACGAAGACUGACGCUCAGGUGCGAAAGCGUGGGGAGCAAACAGGAUUAGAUACCCGAGUAGUC